rnacentral:rRNA from 1 species
UACGAAGGGUGCAAGCGUUAAUCGGAAUUACUGGGCGUAAAGCGCGCGCAGGCGGCUUUGCAAGACAGAUGUGAAAUCCCCGGGCUCAACCUGGGAACUGCAUUUGUGACUGCAAGGCUAGAGUACGGCAGAGGGGGAUGGAAUUCCGCGUGUAGCAGUGAAAUGCGUAGAUAUGCGGAGGAACACCAAUGGCGAAGGCAAUCCCCUGGGCCUGUACUGACGCUCAUGCACGAAAGCGUGGGGAGCAAACAGG